UACGUAGGCAGCAAGCGUUGUUCGGAAUUAUUGGGCGUAAAGCGCGUGUAGGCGGCUUUGCAAGUCGCGUGUGAAAUCCCUCGGCUUAACCGAGGAAGUGCGCGCGAAACUGCAGAGCUUGAGUACCGGAGAGGAUGGUGGAAUUCCCCAAGUAGAGGUGAAAUUCGUAGAUAUGGGGAGGAACACCGGUGGCGAAGGCGACCAUCUGGACGGAUACUGACGCUGAGACGCGAAAGCGUGGGGAGCAAACAGG
rnacentral:rRNA from 1 species